GGUCAGAAAUUAACAUAUUCACAGCAAAAAUGAAUAUUUCUAAAAGAAAUUUUCAUGUACCAAAUAGCUACAAACUGAAAAGUACACACAGUGGGGGCACAAUAAAUACUUA